UACGAAGGGGGCUAGCGUUGUUCGGAAUCACUGGGCGUAAAGCGCACGUAGGCGGAUGGUUAAGUCAGAGGUGAAAGCCUGGAGCUCAACUCCAGAACUGCCUUUGAUACUGGCCAUCUCGAGUCCGGAAGAGGUAAGUGGAACUGCGAGUGUAGAGGUGAAAUUCGUAGAUAUUCGCAAGAACACCAGUGGCGAAGGCGGCUCACUGGCCCGGUACUGACGCUGAGGUGCGAAAGCGUGGGGAGCAAACAGG
rnacentral:rRNA from 1 species